CUACGUGCCAGCAGCCGCGGUAAUACGGAAGGUCCGGGCGUUAUCCGGAUUUAUUGGGUUUAAAGGGAGCGUAGGCUGGAGAUUAAGUGUGUUGUGAAAUGUAGACGCUCAACGUCUGACUUGCAGCGCAUACUGGUUUCCUUGAGUACGCACAACGUUGGCGGAAUUCGUCGUGUAGCGGUGAAAUGCUUAGAUAUGACGAAGAACUCCGAUUGCGAAGGCAGCUGACGGGAGCGCAACUGACGCUGAAGCUCGAAGGUGCGGGUAUCGAACAGGAUUAGAUACCCUGGUAGUCCGCACAGUAAACGAUGGAUGCCCGCUGUUGGUACGUGGUAUCAGCGGCUAAGCGAAAGCAUUAAGCAUCCCACCUGGGGAGUACGCCGGCAACGGUGAAACUCAAAGGAAUUGACGGGGGCCCGCACAAGCGGAGGAACAUGUGGUUUAAUUCGAUGAUACGCGAGGAACCUUACCCGGGCUUGAAUUGCAGACGAACGAUUCAGAGAUGAUGAGG
rnacentral:rRNA from 1 species